rnacentral:pre_miRNA from 1 species
CUUCAGUGAACAUUCAACGCUGUCGGUGAGUUUGUAAUUAAAGUGAAAACCAUCGACCGUUGACUGUACCCUCCAG